AACGCUGGCGGCGUGCCUAAUACAUGCAAGUCGAACGAGCUGAAUUCAAAGAUUCCUUCGGGAUGAUUUGUUGGACGCUAGCGGCGGAUGGGUGAGUAACACGUGGGCAAUCUGCCCUAAAGACUGGGAUACCACUUGGAAACAGGUGCUAAUACCGGAUAACAACAUGAAUCGCAUGAUUCAAGUUUGAAAGGCGGCGUAAGCUGUCACUUUAGGAUGAGCCCGCGGCGCAUUAGCUAGUUGGUGGGGUAAAGGCCUACCAAGGCAAUGAUGCGUAGCCGAGUUGAGAGACUGAUCGGCCACAUUGGGACUGAGACACGGCCCAAACUCCUACGGGAGGCAGCAGUAGGGAAUCUUCCACAAUGGACGCAAGUCUGAUGGAGCAACGCCGCGUGAGUGAAGAAGGUUUUCGGAUCGUAAAGCUCUGUUGUUGGUGAAGAAGGAUAGAGGCAGUAACUGGUCUUUAUUUGACGGUAAUCAACCAGAAAGUCACGGCUAACUA
rnacentral:rRNA from 1 species